GGCUUUGAUAAGUCACAUGUGAAAGCCCAGGGCUCAACCCUGGAAGUGCAUUUGAUACUGCGAAGCUUGAGUGUCGGAGAGGUUACUAGAAUUGUUGGUGUAGUGGUGAAAUACGUAGAUAUCAACAGGAAUACCGGAGGCGAAGGCGGGUAACUGGCCGAACACUGACACUGAGAUCCGAAAGCGUGGGGAUCAAACAGGAUUAGAUACCCUGGUAGUCCACGCCGUAAACGAUGGAUACUUGUUGUUGGAGGUAUUGACCCCUUCAGUGACGAAGCUAACGCGUUAAGUAUCCCGCCUGGGGAGUACGGUCGCAAGAUUAAAACUCAAAGAAAUUGACGGGGGCCCGCACAAGCGGUGGAGCAUGUGGUUUAAUUCGAUGCAACGCGAAGAACCUUACCUAGGCUUGACAUGUCCUGGAAAGAA
rnacentral:rRNA from 1 species